UGAACGCUGGCGGCGUGCUUAACACAUGCAAGUCGAACGAACCUUCGGGUUAGUGGCGGACGGGUGAGUAACGCGUGAGAAUCUGCCCUCAGGAGGGGGACAACAGCUGGAAACGGCUGCUAAUACCCCAUAUGCCGCGAGGUGAAAUGAAUUUCGCCUGAGGAUGAGCUCGCGUCUGAUUAGCUAGUUGGUGUAGGUAAUGGCUCACCAAGGCAUCGAUCAGUAGCUGGUCUGAGAGGAUGAUCAGCCACACUGGGACUGAGACACGGCCCAGACUCCUACGGGAGGCAGCAGUGGGGAAUUUUCCGCAAUGGGCGAAAGCCUGACGGAGCAACGCCGCGUGAGGGAUGAAGGCCUCUGGGCUGUAAACCUCUUUUAUCAAGGAAGAAGAUCUGACGGUACUUGAUGAAUAAGCCACGGCUAAUUCCGUGCC
rnacentral:rRNA from 1 species